rnacentral:rRNA from 1 species
CUGACACCAAGUGGCGCAUGGGUGAGUAACACGUAGGUAACCUGCCUCGAGGAGGGGGAUAACAGACCGAAAGGUUUGCUAAUACCCCGUAGUACCCAGAUUUCGCAUGGAGACUGGGUUAUAGACUGUCGCAAGAUGGUCACCUUGGGAGGGGCCUGCGGGCUAUCAGCUAGUUGGUAGGGUAACGGCCUACCAAGGCUUUGACGGCUAGCCGGCUUGAGAGAGUGACCGGCCACACUGGAACUGAGACACGGUCCAGACUCCUACGGGAGGCAGCAUAGGGAAUCUUCCGCAAUGGGCGAAAGCCUGACGGAGCAAUGCCGCGUGAGGGAUGAAGGCCUUCGGGUUGUAAACCUCUGUUGAUAGGGAAGAAGGGCGCUAUGAAAGUAGUGGCCUUGACGGUACCUGUCGAGGAAGCCCCGGCUAAUUACGUGCCAGCAGCCGCAGUAAUACGUAAGGGGCAAGCGUUGUCCGGAAUCACUGGGCGUAGAGGGCGCGUAGGCGGUUUGAUAAGUAGAAGGUGAAAGAUUCGGGCUCAACCCGAAAAUUGCCUUCUAAACUGUCUUACUUGAGGGUCUGAGGUGAAACUGGAAUUCACGGUGUAGCGGUGAAAUGCGUAGAUAUCGUGGAGAACACCCGUGGCGAAAGCGGGUUUCUGGCAGACUCCUGACGCUGAGGCGCGAAGGCUAGGGGAGCAAACGGGAUUAGAUACCCCGGUAGUCCUAGCUGUAAACGAUGGGUACUGGGUGUGGGGACUUCGGUCUCCGUGCCGGCGCUAACGCAUUAAGUACCCCGCCUGGGGACUACGAUCGCAAGAUUAAAACUCAAAGGAAUUGACGGGGGCCCGCACAAGCGGUGGAGCAUGUGGAUUAAUUCGAUCCACGCGAGGAACCUUACCUGGACUUGACAUCCCGGGACCGCCAUAGAAAUAUGGUUUCCCCUUCGGGGGCCCGGAGACAGGUGGUGCAUGGCUGUCGCCAGCUCGUGUCGUGAGAUGUUGGGUUAAGUCCCGCAACGAGCGCAACCCUUGCCGUUAGUUGCCAGCAUUUAGUUGGGGACUCUAACGGGACUGUCGGUAACAAGCCGAAGGAAGGUGGGGAUGACGUCAAGUCAGCAUGCCCCUUAUGUCCAGGGCUUCACACGUGCUACAAUGGCCGGUUACAAAGAGAAGCAAGUUCGCAAGACCAAGCCAAUCUCCAAAGCCGGUCUCAGUUCAGAUUGAGGGUUGCAACUCACCCUCAUGAAGGCGGAAUCGCUAGUAAUCGUGAAUCAGCAUGUCACGGUGAAUACGUUCCCGGGCCUUGUACACACCGCCCGUCACACCACCCGAGUUGGGUGCACCCGAAGUCGCCCUACCUAACCGC